UACAUGCAAGUAGAACGCUGAAGAGAGGAGCUUGCUCUUCUUGGAUGAGUUGCGAACGGGUGAGUAACGCGUAGGUAACCUGCCUGGUAGCGGGGGAUAACUAUUGGAAACGAUAGCUAAUACCGCAUAAAAUGGAUUAUCGCAUGAUAAUGCAUUGAAAGAUGCAAUUGCAUCACUAGUAGAUGGACCUGCGUUGUAUUAGCUAGUUGGUGGGGUAACGGCCCACCAAGGCGACGAUACAUAGCCGACCUGAGAGGGUGAUCGGCCACACUGGGACUGAGACACGGCCCAGACUCCUACGGGAGGCAGCAGUAGGGAAUCUUCGGCAAUGGGGGCAACCCUGACCGAGCAACGCCGCGUGAGUGAAGAAGGUUUUCGGAUCGUAAAGCUCUGUUGUAAGAGAAGAACGUGUGUGAGAGUGGAAAGUUCACACAGUGACGGUAACUUACCAGAAAGGGACGGCUAACUACGUGCCAGCAGCCGCGGUAAUACGUAGGUCCCGAGCGUUGUCCGGAUUUAUUGGGCGUAAAGCGAGCGCAGGCGGUUUAAUAAGUCUGAAGUUAAGGGCAGUGGCUUAACCAUUGUUCGCUUUGGAAACUGUUAAACUUGAGUGCAGAAGGGGAGAGUGGAAUUCCAUGU
rnacentral:rRNA from 1 species